rnacentral:rRNA from 1 species
UACGGGGGGAGCAAGCGUUGUUCGGAUUUACUGGGCGUAAAGGGCGCGUAGGCGGCCACCGCAAGUCAAUUGUGAGAUCUCCGGGCUUAACUCGGAAAGGUCAACUGAUACUGCCGUGGCUUGAGUCCGGUAGAGGAGCAGGGAAUUCCUGGUGUAGCGGUGAAAUGCGCAGAUAUCAGGAGGAACACCAGCGGCGAAGGCGCUGCUCUGGGCCGGUACUGACGCUGAGGAGCGAAAGCGUGGGGAGCGAACAGG